rnacentral:rRNA from 1 species
CUACGGGGUGCAGCAGUGGGGAAUAUUGGACAAUGGGGGAAACCCUGAUCCAGCAAUGCCGCGUGUGUGAAGAAGGCCUGCGGGUUGUAAAGCACUUUCGGUUGGGAGGACUGCUUCUAGCACUAAUAUUGUUGGAAGUUGACGUUACCUUCAGAAGAAGCACCGGCUAACUCCGUGCCAGCAGCCGCGGUAAUACGGAGGGUGCAAGCGUUAAUCGGAAUUACUGGGCGUAAAGCGCGCGUAGGCGGCUAGAUCAGUCGGGUGUGAAAGCCCCGGGCUUAACCUGGGAACUGCAUCCGAUACUGUCUAGCUUGAGUACAGGAGAGGAGAGUGGAAUUCCACAUGUAGCGGUGAAAUGCGUAGAUAUGUGGAGGAACACCAAUGGCGAAGGCAGCUCUCUGGCCUGAUACUGACGCUGAGGCGCGAAAGCGUGGGGAGCAAACAGGAUUAAUACCCGUGUAGUC